GAGUUUGAUCAUGGCUCAGGACGAACGCUGGCGGCGUGCCUAAUACAUGCAAGUCGAGCGGACCUUUCGGGGUCAGCGGCGGACGGGUGAGUAACACGUGGGCAAUCUGCCCGAUACUCUGGGAUAACGCUUGGAAACGAGUGCUAAUACCGGAUGGUCUUCUUGGCCGCAUGGCCGAGAAGGAAAAGACGCGUUCGCGUCGGUGUCGGAUGAGCCCGCGGCGCAUUAGCUAGUUGGUGAGGUAACGGCCCACCAAGGCGACGAUGCGUAGCCGACCUGAGAGGGUGACCGGCCACACUGGGACUGAGACACGGCCCAGACUCCUACGGGAGGCAGCAGUAGGGAAUCUUCCACAAUGGGCGAAAGCCUGAUGGAGCAACGCCGCGUGAGUGAUGAAGGCCUUCGGGUUGUAAAACUCUGUCAUUCGGGACGAACCGGAGUCUGAGGAAAUGCAGACUCUCUGACGGUACCGGAGGAGGAAGCCCCGGCUAACUACGUGCCAGCAGCCGCGGUAAUACGUAGGGGGCAAGCGUUGUCCGGAUUCACUGGGCGUAAAGCGCGCGCAGGCGGUGAUGUAAGUCUGAGGUGAAAACCCGAAGCUCAACUUCGGGACUGCCUU
rnacentral:rRNA from 1 species